UCAAGUGAAGAAGCGCAUACGGUGGAUGCCUUGGCAGUCAGAGGCGAUGAAAGACGUGGUAGCCUGCGAAAAGCUUCGGGGAGUCGGCAAACAGACUGUGAUCCGGAGAUGUCUGAAUGGGGGAACCCAGCCAUCAUAAGAUGGUUAUCUUGUACUGAAUACAUAGGUGCAAGANNNNNNNNNNNNNNNNNNNNNNNNNNNNNNNNNNNNNNNNGGCCAUAGUGGGUGAUAGCCCUGUACGCGAAAAUCCCUUUGCAAUGAAAUCGAGUAGGACGGGGCACGAGAAACCUUGUCUGAAUAUGGGGGGACCAUCCUCCAAGGCUAAAUACUACUGACUGACCGAUAGUGAACCAGUACCGUGAGGGAAAGGCGAAAAGAACCGCGGAGAGCGGAGUGAAAUAGAUCCUGAAACCGUAUGCGUACAAGCAGUGGGAGCCCACUUUGUUGGGUGACUGCGUACCUUUUGUAUAAUGGGUCAGCGACUUAUUUUCAGUGGCGAGCUUAACCGAAUAGGGGAGGCGUAGCGAAAGCGAGUCUUAAUAGGGCGUCUAGUCGCUGGGAAUAGACCCGAAACCGGGCGAUCUAUCCAUGGGCAGGUUGAAGGUUGGGUAACACUAACUGGAGGACCGAACCGACUACCGUUGAAAAGUUAGCGGAUGACCUGUGGAUCGGAGUGAAAGGCUAAUCAAGCUCGGAGAUAGCUGGUUCUCCUCGAAAGCUAUUUAGGUAGCGCCUCAUGUAUCACUGUAGGGGGUAGAGCACUGUUUCGGCUAGGGGGUCAUCCCGACUUACCAAACCGAUGCAAACUCCGAAUACCUACAAGUGCCGAGCAUGGGAGACACACGGCGGGUGCUAACGUCCGUCGUGAAAAGGGAAACAACCCAGACCGUCAGCUAAGGUCCCAAAGUCAUGGUUAAGUGGGAAACGAUGUGGGAAGGCUUAGACAGCUAGGAGGUUGGCUUAGAAGCAGCCACCCUUUAAAGAAAGCGUAAUAGCUCACUAGUCGAGUCGGCCUGCGCGGAAGAUGUAACGGGGCUCAAACCAUGCACCGAAGCUACGGGUAUCAUCUUAUGAUGAUGCGGUAGAGGAGCGUUCUGUAAGCCUGUGAAGGUGAGUUGAGAAGCUUGCUGGAGGUAUCAGAAGUGCGAAUGCUGACAUGAGUAACGACAAUGGGUGUGAAAAACACCCACGCCGAAAGACCAAGGUUUCCUGCGCAACGUUAAUCGACGCAGGGUUAGUCGGUCCCUAAGGCGAGGCUGAAAAGCGUAGUCGAUGGAAAACAGGUUAAUAUUCCUGUACUUCUGGUUAUUGCGAUGGAGGGACGGAGAAGGCUAGGCCAGCCUGGCGUUGGUUGUCCAGGUUUAAGGUGGUAGGCUGAGAUCUUAGGUAAAUCCGGGAUCUCAAGGCCGAGAGCUGAUGACGAGUGUUCUUUAGAACACGAAGUGGUUGAUGCCAUGCUUCCAAGAAAAGCUUCUAAGCUUCAGGUAACCAGGAACCGUACCCCAAACCGACACAGGUGGUUGGGUAGAGAAUACCAAGGCGCUUGAGAGAACUCGGGUGAAGGAACUAGGCAAAAUGGCACCGUAACUUCGGGAGAAGGUGCGCCGGUGAGGGUGAAGCAUUUACUGCGUAAGCCCACGCCGGUCGAAGAUACCAGGCCGCUGCGACUGUUUAUUAAAAACACAGCACUCUGCAAACACGAAAGUGGACGUAUAGGGUGUGACGCCUGCCCGGUGCCGGAAGGUUAAUUGAUGGGGUUAGCGCAAGCGAAGCUCUUGAUCGAAGCCCCGGUAAACGGCGGCCGUAACUAUAACGGUCCUAAGGUAGCGAAAUUCCUUGUCGGGUAAGUUCCGACCUGCACGAAUGGCGUAACGAUGGCGGCGCUGUCUCCACCCGAGACUCAGUGAAAUUGAAAUCGCUGUGAAGAUGCAGUGUAUCCGCGGCUAGACGGAAAGACCCCGUGAACCUUUACUAUAGCUUUGCACUGGACUUUGAAUUUGCUUGUGUAGGAUAGGUGGGAGGCUUUGAAGCGUGGACGCCAGUCUGCGUGGAGCCAACCUUGAAAUACCACCCUGGCAACUUUGAGGUUCUAACUCAGGUCCGUUAUCCGGAUCGAGGACAGUGUAUGGUGGGUAGUUUGACUGGGGCGGUCUCCUCCUAAAGAGUAACGGAGGAGUACGAAGGUGCGCUCAGACCGGUCGGAAAUCGGUCGUAGAGUAUAAAGGCAAAAGCGCGCUUGACUGCGAGACAGACACGUCGAGCAGGUACGAAAGUAGGUCUUAGUGAUCCGGUGGUUCUGUAUGGAAGGGCCAUCGCUCAACGGAUAAAAGGUACUCCGGGGAUAACAGGCUGAUACCGCCCAAGAGUUCAUAUCGACGGCGGUGUUUGGCACCUCGAUGUCGGCUCAUCACAUCCUGGGGCUGAAGCCGGUCCCAAGGGUAUGGCUGUUCGCCAUUUAAAGUGGUACGCGAGCUGGGUUUAGAACGUCGUGAGACAGUUCGGUCCCUAUCUGCCGUGGACGUUUGAGAUUUGAGAGGGGCUGCUCCUAGUACGAGAGGACCGGAGUGGACGAACCUCUGGUGUUCCGGUUGUCACGCCAGUGGCAUUGCCGGGUAGCUAUGUUCGGAAAAGAUAACCGCUGAAAGCAUCUAAGCGGGAAACUUGCCUCAAGAUGAGAUCUCACUGGAACCUUGAGUUCCCUAAAGGGCCGUCGAAGACUACGACGUUGAUAGGUUGGGUGUGUAAGCGCUGUGAGGCGUUGAGCUAACCAAUACUAAUUGCCCGUGAGGCUUGACCAU
rnacentral:rRNA from 1 species